rfam:Berkelbacteria bacterium GW2011_GWA2_38_9 TT11_C0008, whole genome shotgun sequence.
AGAAAUUAGACCAAUUAGAAAUUAGAUAUUCCAACGCGUAGCGUUGGUGAUGGCGUGCCUUUUGCAUAAUGAGCCAACGACUUAGCUGUAUGUGGCAAGGUUAAGUUCUUAACCGAACGGAGCCGGAGGGAAACCGAGUCUGAAUAAGGCGAAUUAGUCACAUGCACUAAACCCGAAACCGGGUGAGCUAUCCAUGACCAGGGUGAAUCCACUGUAACAGGUGGAGGAGGCCCGUACCCACUUAGGCUACAAACUGAGGGGAUGAGUUGUGGAUAGGGGUAAAAUGCCAAUCGAACCCGGAGAUAGCUGGUUCUCCUCGAAACAUGUUUAGGCAUGGCCUCAUAGAGCAGGCACAGGGGUAGAGCACCCAAUGGGCUUUGGGGGAUUCGUCUCUCAUGUCCAAUGGAACUCCGAAUACUGUGCUUUUAGUCUAUGGGAGUCAGACUGUGGGGGCUAAGCUCCAUAGUCAAAAGGGAAACAGCCCAGACCUAAAGCUAAGGUCCUUAAGUUGUAUCUCAGUGGAAAAGGAUGUGAGAACUCCAUAACAACCAGGAGGUUGGCUUAGAAAUGCAUUAGAAUUUCUAAUUAACCUAAUUACUAAUUUCUAAUGAAUUUCCAAUUACCAAAUCAUAAUGUCUAAUAAUAGUUUAGACAUUGGACAUUUAUUAGAAAUUAGACCAAUUAGAAAUUAGAUAUUCCAACGCGUAGCGUUGAUGUGGUAGAGGAGCGUUCUUGUUGCAGUGAAGGUAAGCUGUAAGGCGAACUGGAGCGUCAAGAAGUGAGAAUGUUGGCAUGAGUAACGUUUUUUGCGAGUGAGAAACUCGCACACCGAAUACCCAAGGUUUCCUGGGCAACGCUAAUCGUCCCAGGGUUAGUCGGUCCUAAGGCCAACCCGAAAGGGGUAACCGAUGGAAAAUCAGGUUAAUAUUCCUGAACUUCCUAGUAACUACCUACUACGCGACGCUGUCUCAAAUUUGAUUUUUUCUAUGGUAUGUCUGAAUCAAAGGAGAGAGGGACUAGAAAAACGUAGAGUUAACUAUGCUAGGGAACCGUACCGAUAACCGACGCAGGUGGGUUGGUCGAGUAGACUAAGGUGAUCGGAAGAACCCUCGUUAAGGAACUCGGCAAAAUAGCGGCCGUAAGUUUGCGAUAAGGCCUCCCGCCUAAAUUUUUCGUCUAUGACGAAAAACUUUGGCGGGCACAGCAAAAGAGCCCAAGCGACUGUUUAUCAAAAACACAGCUCCGUGCUAACCAGAAAUGGGAUGUAUACGGAGUGACGCCUGCCCAGUGUCAGAAGGUUAAAGAAGUGGCUGACUCCGUGAUUUAUCAUGGGGAGGGCUGCGACUGAAGCCCUGAUGAACGGCGGCGAUAACUAUAAUCGUCCUAUGGUGGAAUUGCUGCCAUAGUGAGGUGAAAGACCUCUAUCUGAACUUCCAGACGCCUGGAAGAUGUAGGAUAAAAAUUACGCUAUAUGCUGGAAACUCUGGUGAAUCUUGUGUUACUACGAAACAUUAUGAUAUGUUCGUAUUAUGUUUGGUAGUAAAAAUACAUCAAGUGCAGACAACCAGCAGGAAAGACUUAAAAAUAUCGGAUGGAUAACAGGUUUUGUUGAUGGAGAAGGAUGUUUUUCAGUAGGAUUUAUCUGUCAACCAAAUCGAUUCAAUAGAAAAGGUUAUAAAUUAGGUGUUCAAGUUUGGUGUGAAUUUUGUGUGACUCAAGGUGAAAAAAGUUUAGAAUCAUUGACCCAGGUAAAAGACUUUUUUCAAGUCGGAGCAAUCUAUCUUAAUAAAAGAUAUGAUAAUCACAAAGAAUAUUUAUAUCGUUACGUAGUUCGAAAAAGAACUGACUUGAAAAAUACAAUCAUACCUUUUUUCCAACAAAAUAAAUUAAGAACAUCAAAAAAAGAUGAUUUUGAAUAUUUUGUUAAAUGUUUUCAAAUUAUAGAUACUAAUAAACAUUUAACUGUUGAAGGUAUCAAGGAGCUACUUGAUAUUACAAAACAGAUGAAUCGUCGAAAAGAUCGCUCUGAAGAUAUUUUAAGAAUCCUCAACGACCAUACGCGUAACUCAGAUGUUAAUCUGUGAAAAUAUGGUCUGGACUAUAUGGCGACAUAUAGAAUGUGACAGAAAUGAUCACAUCAUUGUAACAAUUUCCAGCGAAAUUCCUUGUCGGGUAAGUUCCGACCCGCACGAAUGGCGUAACGGUCUUGGGCACUGUCUCAACGAGGGAUCCGGUGAAAUUUCAAUAGCGGUGAAGAUGCCGUUUACUUACAGAAAGACGGAAAGACCCCGUGGAGCUUUACUACAGCUUGGCAUUGUUAUAUGUCUCCACAUGCGUAGCAUAGGUGGGAGUCUUUGAUCCUGCGGCUUUGGUCGCAGGGGAGACAACAGUGAAAUACCACCCUUGUGUUGCACGUAUGACUCAUCUGUAGCUGUAAAUGCAGCUUGGAAACAGUGUCUGGUGGGUAGUUUAACUGGGGCGGUUGCCUUAAUUUAAGGUUUUUUUCGUUAAACCUUUAUGGGGCGUUAUAGCUAUAUGCUGGAAUAUCUGAGUAUCCAACAGUACUAAUAAUCUUAUUAGUGAAAAUCUGUUUGGUGCAGACAAUCAGCAGGGAAGUCCUCAUGACCCCUCAACGACUACACGCUAUACUCUUGGAGGACAUUUACCUUCCAGAGAAGAUAUAGUCUGAACUUAUGGGCGACCAUAAGAUCUUUUAUUUAAAAGAAUCCAAAAUGAGAAGCUUAAUCAUUGAAGAACAAAAGAAACAGCUUAGAUUAAAUUCAAUUCAGCGAGAAAUAAUUAUUGGAAAACUUUUAGGUGACGGCCAUUUAGAAACUCAAAAUAAUGGCAAAACUUAUCGCCUAAAGAUCGAACACUCUUAUUCUCAGAAGAAUUACGUUGAUUGGAUUUAUGUGAAUUUUCAAAGCUGGGUGUUAACACCACCAAAGAUAAAACUGAAGCAGAUAAAUGAUAAAACUGUAAAAAAUUAUUUUUUUCAAACAGUAAGUCAUCCUGCAUUUCGAUAUUAUGCCCAACAGUUUUACCGAGACAAGAAAAAAAUUAUUCCCAAAAGUAUUCACAAAAUGCUUAAACCAAGAUCACUUGCGAUAUGGUUUAUGGACGAUGGAUCGCUGAAGUCUAAGAAUCAUCGAGCAUUAAUUCUGAAUACUCAAGGAUUUAAUAUGAAAGAUUUAAUUUAUCUUCAAAAAGCUUUUCAAAUAUUUCAUCACAUUUCUACUUCAUUUCGAUAUCAACAAGAUGGAAUCCAGCUUAUGAUCAAUGAGCCAUCAGCAACAAGGUUUUAUCAGAUUAUUAAACCGUAUCUGUUGGCUGAUUUUCAUUAUAAGCUUGGUAAGAUUGGAUUAACAAAUUUGCCUAAAGAGUAACGGAGGCGUUCAAAGGUUAGCUUACCUAGGAUGGAAACCUAGGCUCAAAGUGUAUUGGCAAAAGCUAGCUUGACUGCGAGGCCUACAAGCCGAGCAGCUGCGAAAGCAGGACAAAGUGAUCCGACGGUUAUAUGUGAAAGUGCCGUCGCUCAACGGAUAAAAGUUACCCCGGGGAUAACAGGUUCAUCGGGCCCAAUAGUCCACAUAGACGGCCCGGUUUGACACCUCGAUGUCGGCUCAUCGCAUCCUGGGGCUGGAGCAGGUCCCAAGGGUUUGGCUGUUCGCCAAUUAAAGCGGUACGCGAGCUGGGUUCAGACCGUCGUGAGACAGGUCGGUCCUAAUCUUCUGUAAGCGUGGAAUCUUGAGGGGGGCUCUUCCUAGUACGAGAGGACCGGAAGGGACGAACCUCUGGUGUGCCAGUUGUCCUACCAAGGGCAUCGCUGGGUAGCUAAGUUCGGUUUUGAUAAGCGCUGAAAGCAUAUAAGCGCGAAGCAAGCCCCAAGAUAAGGAUUCUCAGGUCUCCCAAAGAACAUGGGAUAUUAUAUCUCUCUGGUGUAAGAUCAGUAAUGAUUUCAGCCUUGAGAGACAAACGAUCGAUUAUUACCUUU